CAAUAGCGUAUAUUAAAGUUGUUGCAGUUAAAAAGCUCGUAGUUGGAUUUCUGUUCUCGAGGAUCGGUCCGCCUCACGGUGAGCACUGGUUUUUCUUGGGGACAUCCUCUCGAAGGCGGGUGGUGCACUUAAUUGUGUGCUGCUUGGAUUCGGGACCUUUACUUUGAAAAAUUAGAGUGUUCAAAGCAGGCGUCGGCUUGAAUACAUUAGCAUGGAAUAAUACUAUAGGAUCUUGGUCCUAUUUUGUUGGUUUCUAGGAUUAAGAUAAUGAUUAAUAGGGACAAUUGGGGGCAUUCGUAUCAACACGUCAGAGGUGGAAUUCUUGGAUUGUGUUGCGACGAACUACUGCGAAAGCAUUUGCCAAGGAUGUUUUCAUUGAUCAAGAACGAAAGUAAGGGGAUCGAAGAUGAUUAGAUACCGU
rnacentral:rRNA from 1 species